UACAGAGGGUGCUAGCGUUGUUCGGAAUGACUGGGCGUAAAGGGCGCGUAGGCGGCUUUUUAAGUCAGGCGUGAAAUCCCCGGGCUCAACCUGGGAAUGGCGCUUGAUACUGGAGAGCUUGAGAGCGGAAGAGGAAAGUGGAAUUCCUAGUGUAGAAGUGAAAUUCGUAGAUAUUAGGAGGAACACCAGAGGCGAAGGCGGCUUUCUGGUCCGCAACUGACGCUGAGGCGCGAAAGCGUGGGGAGCAAACAGG
rnacentral:rRNA from 1 species